UACGGGGGGGGGCAAGCGUUGUUCGGAAUUACUGGGCGUAAAGGGCUCGUAGGUGGCCAACUAAGUCGGACGUGAAAUCCCUCAGCUUAACUGGGGAACUGCGUCCGAUACUGGAUGGCUUGAGUUCGGGAGAGGGAUGCGGAAUUCCAGGUGUAGCGGUGAAAUGCGUAGAUAUCUGGAGGAACACCGGUGGCGAAGGCGGGUCUCUGGGCCGAUACUGACGCUGAGGAGCGAAAGCGUGGGGAGCGAACAGG
rnacentral:rRNA from 1 species